rnacentral:snRNA from 1 species
GGAUGUGAAGGUGACAUGGCUGUGACAGCUGUCACCCCGUGGAUCUCCAGGAUUGAUUCGGCUGAUCUGGCUGGCUAGGUGGGUGCCCCCUUCCCCUCUCACCACUCCAUGUGCGUCCCUCCUAAAGCUGUGCUCUUGGCUGAGGAAGACAACCUUCCUCAAUAGAAGGAGGACUGUCCUUCGGUCAAGGGUAUACAAGUAGCUGCGCUCCCCUGCUAGCACUACCAAACAAGACUCAAGACUCUGGCUAGAAGAACCGUGAUAAAUGACUGGCUUCACUGCAGUGGGCUACAGUGGGGACAGCAC